rnacentral:rRNA from 1 species
UACGUAGGGUGCGAGCGUUGUCCGGAAUUAUUGGGCGUAAAGAGCUUGUAGGCGGUUUGUCGCGUCUGCCGUGAAAGUCCGGGGCUCAACUCCGGAUCUGCGGUGGGUACGGGCAGACUAGAGUGAUGUAGGGGAGACUGGAAUUCCUGGUGUAGCGGUGAAAUGCGCAGAUAUCAGGAGGAACACCGAGUGGCGAAGGCAGGUCUCUGGGCAUUAACUGACGCUGAGGAGCGAAAGCAUGGGGAGCGAACAGG